rnacentral:rRNA from 1 species
UAUUCCACGCCGUAAACGAUGUUCACUCGUUGCUGGCAAUACACAGUCAGUGACCAAGCGAAAGCAUUAAGUGAACCACCUGGGGAGUACGAUCGCAAGAUUGAAACUCAAAGGAAUUGACGGGGGCCCGCACAAGCGGUGGAACAUGUGGUUUAAUUCGAUGAUACGCGAGGAACCUUACCCGGGCUUAAAUGUAGAUUGCAUGACUCAGAGAUGGGCUCUCCUUCGGGACGCGAAACAAGGUGCUGCAUGGUUGUCGUCAGCUCGUGCCGUGAGGUGUUGGCUUAAGUGCCGCAACGAGCGCAACCCCUAUUGUUAGUUGCCAUCAUUAAGUUGGGGACUCUAGCAAGACUGCCGGCGUAAGCCGCGAGGAAGGUGGGGACGACGUCAAAUCAUCAUGGCCUUUAUGCCUAGGGCGACACACGUGCUACAAUGGUGCAUACAGAGGGUAGCGAAGCAGUGAUGUGGAGCCAAUCUCAGAAAGUG